rnacentral:rRNA from 1 species
UACGUAGGGGGGCUAGCGUUGUCCGGAAUCAUUGGGCGUAAAGCGCGUGUAGGCGGCCCGGUAAGUCCGCUGUGAAAGUCGGGGGCUCAACCCUCGAAAGCCGGUGGAUACUGUCGGGCUCGAGUACGGAAGAGGCGAGUGGAAUUCCUGGUGUAGCGGUGAAAUGCGCAGAUAUCAGGAGGAACACCAAUUGCGAAGGCAGCUCGCUGGGACGUUACUGACGCUGAGACGCGAAAGCGUGGGGAGCAAACAGG